ncrna:unclassified sequences RAGATH-28 RNA
GCGGGGUUGAUUCGUCCCCCGCCCGUGGCCAUGGCGGGCAUAGAGGGGGUGAAAACCGGGCGGAAACGGUCGGAUGGCGAAGC